CGUGAUUCCUGUCAUUUAUGUCAAUCAUCCGCUGUUCGUGCAGCUCUUGAAGGACGCUGAAGAUGAGCAUGGCUUCGAUCAGAAAGAUUGUGGUGUUUUUGUCAUUUGUUUCUUCUUGUGAAGAUUUGCGUCUCUGUUGAAGCUCAAACAACAUAAUCAGAGCUGUCUGAAAUGGAUUCUGAGUAAUUCUUUAUUAUUCUGGCAAUGGCAGCUACAACUUUGCUGCACGCGUCUUCUUCAUAUGUAAACUAAUCCAGCUUGAAUAAUGGAAAGUCAAAUUCUAUUUAAAAUAAGAAAAAUGGAUUGUGCUUCUUCCAUCGUUGACUUCUUUAGAUUACGCCUUCCACGGGCCACAUGGAUGAGAUCAACUCUACCCCUUUUCAUAUUUAUAUUCUCCACUUCUUUAUUCAUAUAUUUUCGUGAGUGAUUAAGUGCAAAAGUCGAAUAGCUCGGUGAUAAUUGACGUGUAUUUUAAAAGUCGAAGUUCAAAGCUUCGUACCUCAUAAUUGACUAGAUGUAUGUAUGGUUAAUUCUAUUUUUGGCAUA